rnacentral:lncRNA from 1 species
GACCGCCGAGACCACGUACCUCAGUCUUCCCUUUGCUUUGGCAGGAGCGGCGCGUGUCCUCACUGGAGGCCCACUCUGUGGCCUGGGGGAGGAACAUAGGAGCACACAGACAUCACAUGGCUGUGUCAUUUACUGCCACUCACUGGCAGAGCAGGCAGCAGCCAGUGUCGGGAGUGGACAUGAAGCUGUGAAGGAGGGCUGGUCUGCAGGGUGAGGGCUCCUCUCACU